CAGCAGCCGCGGGAAUACAGAGGGUGCGAGCGUUAAUCGGAUUUACUGGGCGUAAAGCGUGCGUAGUCGGCUUUUUAAGUCGGAUGUGAAAUCCCUGAGCUUAACUUAGGAAUUGCAUUCGAUACUGGGAAGCUAGAGUAUGGGAGAGGAUGGUAGAAUUCCAGGUGUAGCGGUGAAAUGCGUAGAGAUCUGGAGGAAUACCGAUGGCGAAGGCAGCCAUCUGGCCUAAUACUGACGCUGAGGUACGAAAGCAUGGGGAGCAAACAGGAUUAGAUACCCCAGUAGUCCCUGUCUCUUAUAA
rnacentral:rRNA from 1 species